rnacentral:misc_RNA from 1 species
AAAGUCGUAACAAGGUUUCCGUAGGUGAACCUGCGGAAGGAUCAUUAUCGAACAGCAAUCCGAAGGGGGAGAGGGGCGAGCGAAGUCGGGUGGAGCGUAGAGAUCGUAGCUGGCCUUUGGAAACGAAGGCAUGUGCACGUCUAGACCUCUUCCCAGUCCUCGCUCCCUUUCCUUUCGUGAACCUUCGACACCCGUGCACCUCUUGUAGGUCCCCUCUAGGGGGGGAUCUAUGUCUUCGUCUACCCCAAUCGUAUGUCUACGAAUGUAUCUAUGACGUCGUCGACCUGGCUGACGCCUCGUGGGCGAUGGAUAAAAGUUAUUACAACUUUCAGCAACGGAUCUCUUGGCUCUC